AACGAACGCUGGCGGCAUGCCUAACACAUGCAAGUCGAACGAGACCUUCGGGUCUAGUGGCGCACGGGUGCGUAACGCGUGGGAACCUGCCUUUAGGUUCGGAAUAACUCAGUGAAAUUUGAGCUAAUACCGGAUGAUGUCUUCGGACCAAAGAUUUAUCGCCUUUAGAUGGGCCCGCGUUGGAUUAGCUAGUUGGUGGGGUAAAGGCCUACCAAGGCGACGAUCCAUAGCUGGUCUGAGAGGAUGAUCAGCCACACUGGGACUGAGACACGGCCCAGACUCCUACGGGAGGCAGCAGUGGGGAAUAUUGGACAAUGGGCGAAAGCCUGAUCCAGCAAUGCCGCGUGAGUGAUGAAGGCCUUAGGGUUGUAAAGCUCUUUUACCCGAGAUGAUAAUGACAGUAUCGGGAGAAUAAGCUCCGGCUAACUCCGUG
rnacentral:rRNA from 1 species